AUUGAACGCUGGCGGCAGGCCUAACACAUGCAAGUCGAACGAGUGGCGGACGGGUGCGUAAUGUUUGGGAAACUGCCUGAUGGAGGGGGAUAACUACUGGAAACGGUAGCUAAUACCGCAUACCAUACGAUGUGCCCAGAUUGGUUUGGCUAGUAGGUGUGGUAAAGGCGCACCUAGGCGACGGUACCUAGCUGGUCUGAGAGGAUGAACGGCCAAACUGGAACUGAGACACGGUCCAGACUCCUACGGGAGGCAGCAGUGGGUAAUAUUGCACAAUGGGCGGAAGCCUGAUGCAGCCAUGCCGCGUGUAUGAAGAAGGCCUUCGGGUUGUAAAGUACUUUCGUCGGGGAGGCGGUACCCGCAGAAGAAGCACCGGGUAACUCCGUGGCAACAGCCGCGGUAAUAC
rnacentral:rRNA from 1 species